AUAUUUCCAUCAACAGUGUUAUAUCAGAAAGCAUUUUGUCCAAACUGAAUGUUUGAGUGUUGAGAAGAUCUGAGUUUCUUCUAAUAUCAGUGUGUUGAAGUGUUGUUUCUCUCUCUCUGCUGGAGUUUGUGUUCACUCGAGUGGAAUAGAGGUUUUUGUACGACCGUUUCAUUAGAUUGUAUCACUGUGGUUGACUUUUGGUGGAGGAACUAAACUGGUGCUCGCUGGUCCCACAGUGAAGCCCUCAGUGUCUCUGCUGCCGCCCUCUUCUCUGCAGAUCUCUGGAGACUCAGCCGCACUGCUCUGCCUGCUCAGCUCUUACUCUCCACAGGGGGCGCUGGUGAGCUGGACACUGGACGGGUCAGAGGUCACCGAGGGGGUCGU